AGAGUUUGAUCAUGGCUCAGAAUCAACGCUGGCGGCGUGCCUCAGACAUGCAAGUCGAACGAUUAAACUUUCCUUCGGGAAAGAUAUAAAGUGGCGCACGGGUGAGUAACACGUAAGUAAUCUACCUUCGAGUGGGGAAUAACGUUCGGAAACGAACGCUAAUACCGCAUAAUGCAGCGGCACCUAAUGGUGACAGUUGUUAAAGGAGCAAUUCGCUUGAAGAGGAGCUUGCGGCAGAUUAGCUAGUUGGUAAGGUAACGGCUUACCAAGGCUACGAUCUGUAACCGGUCUAAGAGGACGGUCGGUCACACUGACACUGAAUAACGGGUCAGACUCCUACGGGAGGCAGCAGUCGGGAAUUUUGGGCAAUGGGCGAAAGCCUGACCCAGCAACGCCGCGUGAAGGAUGAAGUAUUUCGGUAUGUAAACUUCGAAAGAAUGGGAAGAAUCAAUGACGGUACCAUUUAUAAGGUCCGGCUAACUACGUGCCAGCAGCCGCGGUAAUACGUAGGGACCAAGCGUUGUUCGGAUUUACUGGGCGUAAAGGGCGCGUAGGCGGCAAUUCAAGUCAUCUGUGAAAUCUCCGGGCUUAACCCGGAACGGUCAGAUGAUACUGCUUUGCUAGAGUGCGGAAGGGGCAAUCGGAAUUCUCGGUGUAGCGGUGAAAUGCAGAUAUCGAGAGGAACACCAGAGGUGAAGACGGGUUGCUGGGCCGACACUGACGCUGAUAGCGCGAAAGCCAGGGGAGCAAACGGGAUUAGAUACCCUAGUAGUCC
rnacentral:rRNA from 1 species